UACGGGGGGGGCAAGCGUUGUUCGGAAUUACUGGGCGUAAAGGGCUCGUAGGCGGCCAACUAAGUCAGACGUGAAAUCCCUCGGCUUAACCGGGGAACUGCGUCUGAUACUGGAUGGCUUGAGUUCGGGAGAGGGAUGCGGAAUUCCAGGUGUAGCGGUGAAAUGCGUAGAUAUCUGGAGGAACACCGGUGGCGAAGGCGGCAUCCUGGACAAUUGCUGACGCUCAGGCACGAAAGCGUGGGGAGCCAAAGGG
rnacentral:rRNA from 1 species